GACAGAGGGUGCAAACGUUGCUCGGAAUUACUGGGCGUAAAGCGCGUGUAGGCGGGCCGGAAAGUCGGGCGUGAAAUCCCUGGGCUCAACCCAGGAACUGCACUCGAAACUUCCGGUCUAGAGUGGUGGAGAGGGAAGUGGAAUUCCUGGUGUAGCGGUGAAAUGCGCAGAUAUCAGGAAGAACACCCGUGGCGAAAGCGGCUCUCUGGAACGGUACUAACGCUGAGACGCGAAAGCGUGGGGAGCGAACAGG
rnacentral:rRNA from 1 species